CGGCCGCGUCGACAGAACAAGUGCUAGUUGAAUAAGCUGGCACCUUGACGGUACCUAACCAGAAAGCCACGGCUAACUACGUGCCAGCAGCCGCGGUAAUACGUAGGUGGCAAGCGUUAUCCGGAAUUAUUGGGCGUAAAGCGCGCGCAGGUGGUUUCUUAAGUCUGAUGUGAAAGCCCACGGCUCAACCGUGGAGGGUCAUUGGAAACUGGGAGACUUGAGUGCAGAAGAGGAAAGUGGAAUUCCAUGUGUAGCGGUGAAAUGCGUAGAGAUAUGGAGGAACACCAGUGGCGAAGGCGACUUUCUGGUCUGUAACUGACACUGAGGCGCGAAAGCGUGGGGAGCAAACAGGAUUAGAUACCCUGGUAGUCCACGCCGUAAACGAUGAGUGCUAAGUGUUAGAGGGUUUCCGCCCUUUAGUGCUGAAGUUAACGCAUUAAGCACUCCGCCUGGGGAGUACGCCGGCAACGGUGAAACUCAAAGGAAUUGACGGGGGCCCGCACAAGCGGAGGAACAUGUGGUUUAAUUCGAUGAUACGCGAGUCGUGGGG
rnacentral:rRNA from 1 species